rnacentral:rRNA from 1 species
ACGCUCGACACCUACGGGAGGCAGCAGUGGGGAAUAUUGCACAAUGGGGGGAACCCUGAUGCAGCGACGCCGCGUGAGUGAAGAAGUACUUCGGUAUGUAAAGCUCUAUCAGCAGGGAAGAAAAUGACGGUACCUGACUAAGAAGCCCCGGCUAACUACGUGCCAACAGCCGCGGUAAUCUGAGCGGGCUGGCAAGGC